rnacentral:rRNA from 1 species
AUUGAACGCUGGCGGCAUGCCUUACACAUGCAAGUCGAACGGCAGCACGGGAGCAAUCCUGGUGGCGAGUGGCGAACGGGUGAGUAAUAUAUCGGAACGUGCCCAGUCGUGGGGGAUAACGUAGCGAAAGCUACGCUAAUACCGCAUACGAUCUAUGGAUGAAAGCGGGGGAUCGCAAGACCUCGCGCGAUUGGAGCGGCCGAUAUCAGAUUAGUAGUUGGUGAGGUAAAGGCUCGCCAAGCCGACGAUCUGUAGCUGGUCUGAGA